CGUGCGUUUGACCUUUAUAUUAAUUCUCGCCUUGACCGAGCUAUUUUUGAAACUGUUGUUUAUGUGAACUUGCAACCAAUCAAAAUCCUUCAUGAUGCUGAUCAACCAAUCAGAUUUCCCGUCCACCAGGUGGACGGGAAUCCCACACUUUAGAUAGGUUUUGUGUCAGGCCCUAUUCUGUGAUGGGGCCUGAACUUCAGGUUAGAGGUAAUGUAUUGAAUCAAUAUUUGAGGAACACUUCAAUUGGAACGACAGUAAUGGUAAUGGUAGUCAAAUCUGAACCUAUAUAAUGUCAAUAU